UUUCCGUAGGUGAACCUGCGGAAGGAUCAUUAUUGUAUAACCGAGGUGCGAGGCCUUUCGCUGACCCCAAUGAACGUUCCCUCCCGAGUGCGCCCACAGACAUCCAUCUCACCCCGUUGUGCACCACCCUGUGGGUCCCUCUUUGGCUUGUUCGGUGGUGUGCUUUCUUUUGCUCGCAAUCUUUAUAUACACUGUAUAAUGUAUUUUUUGUUUUUGCGGUCACGAAAUCAAUACAACUUUCAACAACGGAUCUCUUGGCUCUC
rnacentral:misc_RNA from 1 species